rnacentral:sRNA from 1 species
AUGCUUGCUUGUUGCUUUUUGAAAUAGCCAAAUAGAAACGAAAAUUAAAGGUUUAAUUUUUUAGCUAAAAUAUGAGGGCAUUUGCACUUAAAGUCGUUGUGCCCCAGCAAAAAGACCUACCAGUUUUGUAUAGGUGAGAACGUGAUCGGCUGUAGUUUUCUCUUUUGCGGUUGGAGCCUCACUGCCACACAAACAUAUGCCCGCUUAGUAAUGCCCGCAUUUGUGUGUGUGUGGGUAUUUCUGCUUGUUUACCUGUUGCUUUUCAAUUGUUUCACAUUUUGCCAGAAAAAUGAUUUUCCACAAAUGCAAGAACAUACGGCACUAUCUCGAGAUUCCACCGAAAUGGUUUUGGCCAAUUAAAAUUACGGCAACAGGUGGGGCAAGUGCGCUCACCCACACACAUGUAACCUGCUUGUACCUGUAUGUGUGCUUGUAAUCUCGACCUGACGUAAAAACAAAGACACAGCAUUGCCGUUGUUUUUGUUAUAAGCCGCAGAAGACGAAGAAGCAGAAGCAGCUUCGAGAAAAAUAUAUUUAUUUUCGUAAUACGUAAUUUCUGGGGCUGUUUGGCCGCUUCAAAUACAAAUUGCAAUAAAACUGGUUCCCCAAGUCGACCAUAUAAUAAUGUACCAGGAUUUGAUUAUUGUUGUCGUUAUUCGUUGUCCAAUUGUUGCUUUCGACGCUGCCGUGGUGUUGUUAUUGUUUGGUGGCAUGCCUUGCAUUUUUCUGGUACACAUUUUCCUUUUCCAUUUUGCCACAUUUUAACUGCAGUCCCUUCCCCUUUGACCACCCCCAUUCCCUUCACCAACCAAAAUAAAACCGGCUUGACAUAAAGGAGUGUGCGUGAUGAGGGUAUAUGUGUGUGGGGCCACUGCAAUUGUAGUUUCAGUUUGGAUGCAGGCACUGUGGAAUGCAAAAGCCGUUUAGCAAAAUAAAUUGGCGUGAAAGCCUAAAAAUCACAAAUAGCUUAUGGUACUUAAUAUUUAAUAGCUGUUCGGUUUCUAGGUAAACGAUAUUGAAGACUGUUAAUGAGGUUGAAACCCUUAAACGGGAAUAAACAGCUUUUUAAAGAUCAAGUGAGUUUCAGUACUAAAAACUUUACUAUUAAGAUCAUUUCAGGCAUUCGCAUUGUGUCCUUGUGGAAUUUUAACUUUGAUGUCCCUUUUAAAUUGUUUGACCCACUGUACUCUCCUUGUCGUUUCGCUGCAUCUGGCCAUACGUACAAUUUUCCCACACCCGCUCUCUGUCACCGCGAUCUCUCUCUCUCUUUAUCUCUUCGCCGGACUUUUAAGCUCCUGUUUCGGUUUUCCUCUCCGCCUAAUAUUGGCCAUUUACAGUUAGAGGCCGCUCGCUGCGCCGCCGACAGCAGAUAUUGCAGCUAUUAUUUUCUCUCCCGCUGUAAUUUUAUUACCAGUUUCCUUUCCGCCGGCCAAAAGGAAAACUCCGAAUGGCUUUUCAUUGAGAGAUUUUCCCGUGGAGCAACAGGGUGACCUAUGCAAGCCCACACACGGCAAAGGGCAACGCUAUUUUUGGGCUUUCCAAACUGCAACCGUGCUAGUUAAAAAGCUUCCGCUCAUUAAAACUACAUUGAAUCUAUUCAUAAGCUUAUAACAAGAAAUGUCUAAUAGUCUUGGUUUCGCACAUGGAAAUCUAAUCAAUCUUACUACGGAGAACUUAGAAGGGCUGAGCGAAACUGGCACCAUCGACAUGGUUCAAUGUGCACUUCUUGAGGGGGCGUUCGAUCUGCCCCUUAUUUGCAAGUAAUAAUGGCCUUUAAAAACUCGCAAUUGCAUUUUGAUCGGGGUCUCUUUCGAAUUGUUAUCGUCGCCAAGGGGCGUUGACUCCGGAUGUUCGUUGGAUGAGGGGAGGGGAGUCCUGAGGGGGCGUGACUGCGAAUGCUUGUUUCGUCGCACAUGACGUUAUCUUGGCGUCGUUUUCAUCAUCGAAGCAAUAGAGUUCAAAGGCCCAAUUAGCCAAAUAAAAUGCAUGAAACCAGAAAAUACGUUCCUCACUCAUUCUUUUAUAAGGCGAAAUGUCAUUAAAUGGUAUUGUAAAUAUUUGUGCGCUGCGAUCAAAUGGCAGUCGAAGCCAGUUAUUCUUGUUGCUUUGCAGCUCGUAGGAACGUGCUGGUAUUUUUCAAGCGCAAUCGCUCGCUCAGUUUUUCACUCCGAGUUUCGGGCUUUUCAGCUUUUUCAGAGCCUGGGUGCGGAGCCGGUGUCAUCAGCAUAAUUUACGUGCCGAUGCCCGCCCCGCCGAGUGUCACGUUUCCACCUCACGCUCCUUAUCACAUGUCGCCGAGCACGGGGAACACUGUAGGAAAUCAAAAGUGGGGAGUACUGUCAAAGUGCCUCAAAAUGCAUAUAAAUAAGAAACUCAAAGAUGCAAAUCAAACAAGCAACGCGAUGCGGAUUAGUUCCAAAGACUAUGCUAUAACAAGCCAUUUAAUGUACAUUUGCAUAUAAUAUAUAAUAAUAAUAAUAAUAUAAAUAUCAUAUAAUAUUAUUAUGCUUCCCAUGCUGAUUUAUAUAAUAACAAUCUCCAUCGAAUUAUCAUUAAAAGAGAAUUCAGAAGACAAA